rnacentral:lncRNA from 1 species
CUAGAUUUCUAUAGGAGGUUGCUGAGACAGCUCUCACUCUGAUUGGUGCAUCUUUUGCCUCUAGACAGAGAAGGGCUUCGGUAGAUUUGUCGGACUGUCGAGUAAGCAGUCUGGCUAGCGGUAUCGUUGCUGCGGCUGGAAUGGGGGGCUUGGCCCCAGGCCAACAGUGGUUAGAAAGGCUCAUUGUUGGGUGUAACUAACUACCAAAUUUAAAGCUAUUGGUAGGUGACUCAACGCAGCCUUAAACGGGGCCGCAGUACCCAGUAAAAGGCUGUGCUAAUUGUUUUGAGAACGGUACCUUGGCUAUCUAAUAUCCAUUCAACUGAAUUACCUGUUUUUUUGCAUGAUAUUGCUGUGCAACAGCAAUUCUGAGUCAAAACUGGACGACAUGAAGGGGUGUUAUUCCCCCCUCACUCCUGUCUGGCGCGCCGGGUCUGCAGUGGAGCUGUUAACAGAUGAUCCCGAAACCGGCAUCUAAGUGAGAACCAGAGCAAUGGGACGCUCCCUGAGUGGCAACAUCAGAGUCCCUUUCUCUUCCGAAAUGGAGGGGAUCGACAAUGAAUACUCAACAUUCCUUUCACCUGAUGUUGGAUAGAUAGGGUUUUUAUCAUGAAAAAAAACCUACAGGGGAGAUUUUACCCCCAUAUUGUAAUGUUUUUAUUUCCAUAGUCAUUUUCUUUUAUGUGUUUUUGUGUUUGUUUUGGUUGACUGUACGGUAUGAGGUAAAGCUCUACCAUGAGUGUGGGGCAUGGCUCCCUCUGUGUGUCUGUGUAUUUUAUUAUAGUUUUUUUUUUAUUAAUGUGUUAGGAAAACUCGGGACUCUAAGCCUUGAUGAUAUUUAAACCUUCUUGGGGGAGACGGAGGGAAAGAUGCCAAAAAAAAAGGGGGGGGGGGGAGAAA